rnacentral:rRNA from 1 species
ACGAGACGGGAUGGAAUGACCCUUCGGGGGAAUGAAAUCCUAGAAAGUGGCGAACGGGUGAGUAACGCGUGGGUAACCUGCCCUAUGGAAAGGAAUAGCCUCGGGAAACUGGGAGUAAUGCCUUAUAAUAUACGAGAGUCGCAUGGCUUUUGUAUUAAACGCUCCGGUGCCAUAGGAUGGACCCGCGUCCCAUUAGCUAGUUGGUGAGAUAACAGCCCACCAAGGCAACGAUGGGUAACCGGUCUGAGAGGGCGAACGGUCACACUGGAACUGAGACACGGUCCAGACUCCUACGGGAGGCAGCAGUGGGGAAUAUUGCGCAAUGGGGGCAACCCUGACGCAGCAAUACCGCGUGAGUGAAGAAGGUUUUCGGAUCGUAAAGCUCUGUUAUUGGGGAAGAAAAAAGACGGUACCCAAGAAGAAAGUCCCGGCUAACUACGUGCCAGCAGCCGCGGUAAUACGUAGGGGACAAGCGUUGUCCGGAUUUACUGGGCGUAAAGGGCACGCAGGCGGUUUUUUAAGUCAGAUGUGAAAGGUACCGGCUCAACCGGUGACAUGCAUUUGAAACUGAAAGACUUGAGUAUUGGAGAGGCAAGUGGAAUUCCUAGUGUAGCGGUGAAAUGCGUAGAUAUUAGGAGGAACACCGGUGGCGAAG